UACGUAGGUGGCGAGCGUUGUCCGGAUUUACUGGGCGUAAAGGGCGUGCAGGCGGUUUGUUAAGUGCAGGGUGAAAGCUCCCGGCUCAACUGGGAGAGGUCCUUGCAUACUGGCGAACUCGAGGGAGGCAGAGGAAAGUGGAAUUCCCGGUGUAGUGGUGAUAUGCGUAGAUAUCGGGAGGAACACCUGUGGCGAAGGCGGCUUUCUGGGCCUUACCUGACGCUGAGACGCGAAAGCGUGGGGAGCGAACAGG
rnacentral:rRNA from 1 species